UACGGAGGAUGCAAGCGUUAUCCGGAAUGAUUGGGCGUAAAGCGUCCGUAGGUGGCGAUUCAAGUCUGCUGUUAAAGCGCAGGGCUUAACCCUGUAAAGGCGGUGGAAACUGGAGAGCUAGAGUGUGGUAGGGGUAGAGGGAAUUCCCGGUGUAGCGGUGAAAUGCGUAGAGAUCGGGAAGAACACCAGUGGCGAAGGCGCUCUACUGGGCCAUAACUGACACUGAUGGACGAAAGCUAGGGGAGCGAAUGGG
rnacentral:rRNA from 1 species